AAAAAACUGCAGCGUUUUGCUAAAACCGUCCAAAAAUAGACAACCCACCUAGCACCAUUUUCUCCAGCAAAAUGUAAUGCAGCACUGCAGCUGACACCUGACAGGCCACACGGAAGGCUCUCGUGGGCCCCAAUUGAAGAACACUGCUGUAAAUGGUUAGAAAAGUAUUUACAGAUCUAAAAAGAUAAAAACUAAAAUAUGUGAAUAUGAUAUACCAAGAUAAAUGACCAAGACACUAAACAUGUUAAAAUAACUGAUUGUGCUCUGGUAUAGUAACUGUGCUACAUGGACUGGGAGGAGACAUUUGUUUUAAUUUGUCUAGAAAAUAUCUUGUCAGAUUCGUUUGAAACUUGACAUUUUGUUAUUUAUCAUAAUCUGUGUAUGAAAGUUGUCUGUCUAUUAGAAAAAUCACACUUUUGUGCUCCCGAGUGGCGCAUCCAGUAAAGGCGCUCCGUGUGGAGUGCAGGAUGUGCCCUAUAGUCUGGAUGUCGCGAGUUCGAGUCCAGGCUAUUCCUUUGCCGACCGAGGACGGGAGCUUCCAGGGGGCGGUGCUCAAUUGGACGAGCGCCGCCGGGGGGAGGGAGGGUUAGGUCGGCCAGGGUGUCCUCGGCUCACCGCGCACCAGCGACCCUUGUAGUCUGGCUGGGCGCCUGCGGGCUUGCCUUUAAGCUGCCCAAGAGCUGCGUUGUCCUCCGACGCUGUAGCUUUUGGGAGGCUGCAUGGUGAGUCCGCAGUGUGAAUAAAAGCUGUCAGCUGACGGCACACGCUUCGAAGGACAGCGUGUGUUCGUCUUCGCCCUCCCGAGUCAGUGCAGGGGUGGUAGCGGUGAGCUGAGUAUAAUAAAAAUUAUUUUGUUUUUUUUGUUUUAUAAAAUUUAUUAAAAAAAAAAAGUGCAGUGAUAAAAUACAGAUACCAGUAUCUGAGGGAAUAUCAUAUGGUGGAGAGUUUGGCAGCACUGUCAAAUCCCAGUUGCUUACAAUUAUGUAAAUAACCAAUUAUUUUGGACAAUGAUAUAUUCAUAAAUGUCCUGACCUGAAGCAGAUUACUGGAAAUCAUCCUAAAGUCAUUUUAAAACUUCCUCUGUUUAAACCACUUUGCAGUGACAAAUGUUAUGGAUAAAAUGGACCCCAUCACAAAGAGGCAGUGACCACACUUUUUUUUGUAGUUCAACCACUUUAUUUUUAAGAAUAAAUGUAUGUUGAGACCAUAAGAGGAAUGGUAAAAUGAUCCGACUUUCUAAUUUCUUAAUUCUAGAACACAUUUUGUUCUUGGAACAAACAAUAUGCUUCAAAUGUAAUUUCAGUGUUUUUUUAUUUUUUUACAUUGACCUAUUUUCUGAUGUUUCAUUCUGGGAGCAUUUCAUUCUUGAAUACUGAGUCAUUAUUAUUUUUCUCUGGAUCUGUCAUUACCUGUCUUUGUGGUUUUAUAUAUUGUAAUGGGCACGGCCGGACUGACUCGCUGUCGCUGCUUGUUGAAAAAUGUUUAUUAUUAUUGUUGUAUUUCGCUGUUAGUUAUUGUAAAAGUGCAUUUAUUGUUAUGUUGAACCCUUCCUGUGUUGCCUUUGUGUUGUUGCGUGAAUGUCACCUUGAGAGGCGGGGUAGUGCACUGGGGCUGUCUGUGUAUGUAUGAGUGAGUGUGUGGAUGCUGCUAACUUCUAUUAGCUGCCUAUCAAACCGCAUUGUACCUGAAAGGCUUGGCGUGUGUCUCCUUGAUUCCUGUGCUCGCUACAAUAUAAAGCAGGGGCCAAAGAGUCGUAUGAUUGAAAGCAUAUUAAGUAAAUCAGUUAAAAUGACAUUUGAAACUACUUAAGUAUAAGAUUGUAUUGUUUAUUGUGUAAAUUGUUUUUUGUUUAUCUGGUCUUUGUGUUUCUAGUUUUGUCUUUUGCAUGGAAUCAAUUUGGUGUAUCAGGAGAGAGCUGGGUCCCUGAAACACAACUACUUGUCACCAGCAACCAGCACUCAGAUCAGGAGACAGUGGGCUCCAGCAGGGAAGAAGUGGCAGACAAGUGUGAGGAUUUGCUCUUUCAAACUCAACAACAGAACACAACAAGUACACAUUGUACAUGAUUAUAAAUGUGGCAGGACCUUUAUAAGUCAGUGAAAGAUGAAGCUCUGCAGGUGGUUUCUGAAUGUAACAUUCCUCACUGUUGUAUCCAGGCUCCUAUCACAAGGAUUUCGAAUUAUAAUGCUGUCCUUUGCCUCAACUACCACAGACUAAAGACCUCAAAGGAAAGGAUACCAAAAUCAGAUGCAGAUUAUAAAAUCAACACCAUCGUGAUAUUUGCUGCCAUUUUACAUUCAUCAACAAAACAUUAUGCAGUAAUUAAUUGCAUAUGAUUUUUUUUUUAUAUUAUGUAUUUAUUUGUCAGAUGUUAUUAUUACGGGAUUGCAUUCAUUUAUAACUAAACUAGGAAACUGAUGCAGGUUCUUAAAUAUGACUGCAGCCCAUGUUUUAGUAAAAGACUGGGAAAAUGUUGACUUUCAAAUUACUUUUUCGUACAUUUCUCUAUAUCUAAAAUUGCUGUAUAAUUUAUAAAUUGUAAAGCAGUAAUAACCAGUGAAGCAGGUCUGCCUAACUUAGAUGGGCAUUGCUUGGGUAUAAAAACCUGUCAGGGGCUUAAAGGUAACUUUGUAAACUUGCACAAAGAGUUACAGUGCUGGACAAUGUUUUAAAUGUAUGGGGUUUGGCUAUAUUAUAAAUAGAAGUAGUAUUUUAAAUACAGUAAUUACAUACUUACCAACAUUUGGAAACUGUUCAGCAAAAAAAAAACUCAUUAUCAUAUAAUAGACAUAUACCCCACAUGUUUAAUCUGUAGUAUUUUGUAUUUUAAUCAUAUCCUUAUGUAACUAUCACUGACACUGUUAUCCGCUGUAUUACUGAAUUGUAUUUUGUCACACUUGUACUUGCUUGAACCAAAAUCGUUGUAUUUAUGUUGCUCUUAAUUGUAUUAUUACUUGUACUGUGAUACUUGAAAUGUAUUUGCUUACGAUUGUAAGUAGCUCUGGAUAAGGGCGCCUGCUAUGAAAUAAAUAAUAAUAAUAAUAAAAAUAACUCAACACCACACCACCAUCAGUAAAAUCAGACAUAAUGAAGCGUUCUUACAUUUAUGUAAGGUAGUGAGUGAUCCGCAGAUGUGUCAGCCGCACGAAGAGCACAGCUGUGCAGAAUAAAUGUUUUUUUUGUUUGUUUGUUUUGUUUUUUUUCUCUGGGUAAAUCGCGACUUUCUUCCUAUGCAUCGGGAUGCGGGACAUUUGCUAGUAAAUUGGGACUGUCCCGACCAUAUAAGGACUGUUGGCAUGUAUGUCAUUAAAGGUAUAUUUUCAAGGUCUAAAUAUUGAGUAGUCGAGAAAAACAAAUCAGGAUUCUAAUUUGGAAGUUUGUUGCAGUUAUGUAUCUGUUAAAACUGCACAUAUUUGCGGUGCACACAUAUUUCUGGAUUUAUUCCUGUAUUGUUACUCUGCUAUCUGACAUCAGUCUUCUACAAUAUCUUAUUUCUCAGUUGCAUUACAUGAAUUGUCAAAAUUCUAAACUGCUUUCAAUAAGUCAAAUUCAUGAUUGCGGUUAAUAAUAUUCAUAUUAACCUAUAUUAUUAUUAUUAUUAUUAUUAUUAUUAUUAUUAU